UCUUUUUUUAUAGGCUGCCUUUGGAAGAGCCACUAUCUGACUUCAUUAUGUUCCCAGGUUCAUAAGAAGUUGAAAGAGGGUUCUGAAAACAGCUUCAUCUUGGGAGUCUAGUUUUAAGGGUAAUUUAGAAGAAUUAUCAAGCUUGACUACAAGGAGACCAGCAUCCACAAAUCCCAGCCGAACCUGAGAGGUUGAGGACCGAACAUGCAAGGUGAUGGACAGUAACUGACACGGCAGCCCAUGAAAAUCUGAAAGCACAGUACCUUGCCAAGACAAGCCAGGAAGCAGAGAGGAAAUCUGGAAAGAAGCAGAGAAAACUGGAUGCAAGUGGUCUUCCAAAGAUGAGUGGUGUGGGGCAAGCCUGACUGUGCAGGAAGCAGAUUGAAAAUGUGCAAUGGCACCUUUCACACUACGUCAGCUGCUUCCGUAUCCUGAGAGUGGCCCCUUUACACACUCCAGCAAAGAUCUCUCUGUAGGAAGCUGACACUGUGUAACUUGGUGUAACAGCUGUAGUCACAGUUGAGAAGAGCAGUGACAUUCGAACAACAGGUAUAUUAAAUAGAAAUUUAAGUCAUAAUACAAGUUCCUUCUACCUGCUGAACCCAAGUAUUCCAGCAGUCAUGUUUAGACAUAAAAAGUCCUGCAAAUUCUCAGAAGAAAUGCGCUGCUCUGAAGAACACCAGUAGAUUUUUAAUACUGGGGUCCUUAAGUUCACCGGACUAGAAGUUUGUCUCACUUCUAUUCUUUAGUUAGACUCACAUCCAAGACUGAGUUUAGUCAGAACUUCUGACACUUUUUUGGUUAUGUUAAAAUCUGUUACAAGACUGCAUCUUCUAUAUAUCUAGGGUUCUACACCCGUGAAAUCUCAAAAAUUAUGGCCAUUAAAAGCAGACCUAAACAAAGACAGCACAUGUUGACAUAUCAAGGUGGAUGGGGGAAAUCUCACCAUGGUCCAUUCCUAGAUGAAGAGGUAUAGGUGAUCAAUCAGUGCUGGGAUGGGGAGAAUUAGUCGUUCCCAGGCAUGAGUCCCCUAAAUAGAUGCCCAAUACCAAGUGACCAGCCCUAAAGGCAAGAGUAAAUGUACUCAGUAGGCUGUGUAUUAGCAGAAACAGGAAAUCAAUGAUAAUGGAAUUAAGUAGGGAUAAAGAAAGGUAAUGGUUCGGUGGGGAAACAAGAGACAGCAAUGUAAUGAAAGAAGAAAGAAUGUGGAGUAAAUAAUUUAGGAACUGUUGAGCAAGUCAGCCAUUGAAAGAAUGAGAAUCCCAGACAGGAAGAUCAGGGGAAUGGAAGAAUUGAAUCUAUGAGUGGCACUACAGCACAAACGUUCUCAGAAUUGAGAUGCAACAUUCUGUUUUGUUUAUUAC
rnacentral:sRNA from 1 species